ACCACAAGACCCAGUGCUACCCUUACAAAUGUGCUGUACCAGGAUUGCUUCCUAGGGAACAUGGCCAGCUGGUCCUGUUACCUCUCCAAUUUGGAGAGAGGAGAACUCACAGAAUCGGCGAAAGCGCCGUGGAGGAGCCGUUAAUUCCAGACAAGCUCCGAAACGAAGCAGGCUGCUGGCUUCUAGUGCAGGUGAGGCUUCAGCAGCAGAGC